rnacentral:misc_RNA from 1 species
AAGUCGUAACAAGGUUUCCGUAGGUGAACCUGCGGAAGGAUCAUUACAGUGUGCGAGGGUUGUAUGGCCCGAGCAGUGAGAGGGUGUGGUUUUGAUGUGGGGGUUGGUGGGUAUGCAAGUACCCACCAACCUUUUUCAACACAAACAAUACGAUUUUGAACAAGGUAUGAGCAAGUGAUUACGACACACAACUGUCACCGGUGGAUCUCUUGGCUCGU